rnacentral:rRNA from 1 species
GAUGAACGCUAGCUACAGGCUUAACACACGCAAGUCGAGGGGAAGCGACAUCGAAAGCUUGCUUUUGAUGGGCGUCGACCGGCGCACGGGUGAGUAACGCGUAUCCAACCUGCCCAUCACUUGGGAAUAACCUUGCGAAAGUAAGACUAAUACCCAAUGACAUCCCACGAAGACAUCUGAAUGGGAUUAAAGAUUUAUCGGUGAUGGAUGGGGAUGCGUCUGAUUAGCUUGUUGGCGGGGUAACGGCCCACCAAGGCAACGAUCAGUAGGGGUUCUGAGAGGAGGGUCCCCCACAGUGGAACUGAGACACGGACCAAACGCCUACGGGAGGAAGCAGUAAGGAAUAUUGGUCAAUGGGCGGGAGUCUGAACCAGCCAAUCAGCGUGCAGGAAGACGGCCCUAUGGGUUGUAAACUGCUUUUAUAAGGGAAAAAAGGGCGGUACGGGUAACUGUUUGAGUGUACCUUAAGAAUAAGGACCGGCUAAUUCCGUG